rnacentral:rRNA from 1 species
UACGGAGGGUGCAAACGUUGCUCGGAAUCAUUGGGCGUAAAGCGCACGUAGGCGGCCUGUUAAGUCGGGUGUGAAAGCCCUGGGCUCAACCCAGGAAGUGCACUCGAAACUGGCGGGCUUGAAUAUGGAAGAGGGUCGCGGAAUUCCCGGUGUAGAGGUGAAAUUCGUAGAUAUCAGGAGGAACACCUGUGGUGUAGACAGCUUACUGGACCACUUCUGACGCUGAGACACGAAAGCGUGGGUAGCAAACAGG